CCAAUAGCGUAUAUUAAAGUUGUUGCAGUUAAAAAGCUCGUAGUUGAAUUUCGGGAUCAAUAUGUUGGUCGUGCCUUGGUACGUACUGGCAUUAUUGGUUUCUACUUUCUGAAGAACCUCGAUGUCAUUAAUUUGGUGUCUUGGGGAAUCAGGACUGUUACUUUGAAAAAAUUAGAGUGUUUAAAGCAGGCUCGCGCUUGAAUACAUUAGCAUGGAAUAAUGAAAUAGGACGUUUGAUUCUAUUUUGUUGGUUUCUAGGAUCGACGUAAUGAUUAAUAGGGAUAGUUGGGGGCAUUAGUAUUCAAUUGUCAGAGGUGAAAUUCUUGGAUUUAUUGAAGACUAACUACUGCGAAAGCAUUUGCCAAGGAUGUUUUCAUUAAUCAAGAACGAAAGUUAGGGGAUCGAAGACGAUCAGAUACCGUCGUAGUCUUAACCAUAAACUAUGCCGACUAGGGAUCGGAUGAUGUUAAUUUUUUAAUGACUCAUUCGGCGCCUUACG
rnacentral:rRNA from 1 species